CACGCCCUAAACUAUGAUGACUAGGUGUUGGUCCUUCGGGAUCAGUGCCGUAGCUAACGCGUUAAGUCAUCCGCCUGAGUAGUACGACCGCAAGGUUAAAACUCAAAUGAAUAGACGGGGGCCCACACAAGCAGUGGAUCAUGCGGUUUAAUUCGAUACUGAACGAGGAACCUUACCCAGACUUGAUAUCUACGAAACCCUUUAGAAAUAGAGGGGUGCCCUCACGGGAAUCGUAAGACAGGUGC
rnacentral:rRNA from 1 species